CGGGGGUCCGCACAAGCGGUGGAGUAUGUGGUUUAAUUCGAUGAUACGCGAGGAACCUUACCUGGGCUAGAAUGCGAGUGCUGUAACCUGAAAGGGUUAUUUCUGUCAAAAGACACGAAGCAAGGUGCUGCAUGGCUGUCGUCAGCUCGUGCCGUGAGGUGUUGGGUUAAGUCCCGCAACGAGCGCAACCCUUGUCAUUAGUUGCCAACAGGUCAAGCUGGGGACUCUAAUGAGACUGCCGUCGUAAGACGCGAGGAAGGAGGGGAUGAUGUCAAGUCAUCAUGGCCUUUAUGUCCAGGGCUACACACGUACUACAAUGGUAGAGACAAAGAGCCGCGACUGUGCGAGCAGAAGCCAAUCUCAAAAACUCUAUCUCAGUUCGGAUCGCAGUCUGCAACUCGACUGCGUGAAGCUGGAAUCGCUAGUAAUCGUAGAUCAGCAAUGCUACGGUGAAUACGUUCCCGGACCUUGCACACACCGCCCGUCAAGCCAUGAAAGCCGGGUGUACCUAAAGUCGGUAACCGAAAGGAGCUGCCUAGGGUAAAACCGGUAAUUGGGGCUAAGUCGUAACAAGGUAACCGUA
rnacentral:rRNA from 1 species